CCUACGGGCGGCAGCAGUGGGGAAUAUUGGGCAAUGGGCGAAAGCCUGACCCAGCAACGCCGCGUGAAGGAAGAAGGCUUUCGGGUUGUAAACUUCUUUUGACAGGGAAGAGCAGAAGACGGUACCUGUCGAAUAAGCCACGGCUAACUACGUGCCAGCAGCCGCGGUAAUACGGAGGUGGCAAGCGUUGGCCGGAUUUACUGGGUGUAAAGGGCGUGUAGGCGGGCUGACAAGUCAGAUGUGAAAUCCGGGGGCUCAACCCCCGAACUGCCUUUGAAACUGUUGGUCUUGAGUAUCGGAGAGGCAGGCGGAAUUCCUGGUGUAGCGGUGAAAUGCGUAGAUAUUAGACAGAACACCGAUUGCGAAGGCAGCCUACUGGACGACAACUGACGGUGAGGCACGAAAGCGUGGGGAGCAAACAGGAUUAGAUACCCUUGUAGUC
rnacentral:rRNA from 1 species